rnacentral:rRNA from 1 species
AUUGAACGCUGGCGGCAGGCCUAACACAUGCAAGUCGAGCGAGCGGCGGACGGGUGAGUAAUGUAUGGGGACUGCCCGCUAGAGGGGGAUAACUACUGGAAAAGGUGGCUAAUACCGCAUACUAUCGGAUAACCCAUAUGGGAUUAGCUAGUGGGUGGGGUAAAGGCUCACAGAGGCGACGAUCUCUAGCUGGUCUGAGGGGAUGAUCAGCCACACUGGGACUGAGACACGGCCCAGACGCCUACGGAGGCAGCAGUGGGGAAUAUUGGACAAGGGGCGAAAGCCUGAUGAAGCAAUGCCGCGGGUAUGACGAGGGCCUUAGGGUUGUAAAGUACGUUCAGCGGGGAGGCGUUACCCGCAUAAGAAGCACCGGCUAACUCCGUGCCAGCAGCCGCGGUAAUAC